AACUAAUGUUUUAAAAUGGUAGCUGCAAUUGGUUGACAUGCUCCAACAUUAUUUUCAACAAAAAAGGCGAUUACCCAGCAACAUUAUGCCUGCUGGAUUUGUUGAAAAUUCAAUAUACUAUUCUGUGAUCCAUAUCCUUCUCCCUUCAUACUCAUAGCCAUCCAUUAAAUAAAAGAUAAGAAUGCCACCAGAAAAGCUAGAUUUUUCCAUCAAUAACAGAUUCUUCAAAUAAAUCACUCUUUUUCUCCAUAGCCUUUAUUCCUUCAAUUGCCAAAAUCUGGUUCUUACAGUAAAGGAGACAACAAUCAUGGAAAACAAACGUGCGUGCAAACAAAGAAUUACAAUCUUUAGAAUCCAAGUAAUGUUGGAUCUGUAAGUGCCAAGAGAAAAACAUCAGCAAAAUACAUCUGCUGAUGAAGAAUUCCCAGCAACGUGAAGUGAAACUGGAUACUCCACCAGAUUUCCGCAAUGUCCUCCUUUAACAGAAACAAUUUGCAACUGACUUGAACCACUAAUUGGAGUUUCUGCAAGAGACAUUUUCUUUGCAGCUACUGCCUUCAGCCGGUAUCGCUCUGCUCUAGAUCCAAUAACCUGUCCGAGUACAGAAGCUGCAAUGGUAAAUGCCAUGGCUGACUUUGGCAUCAACACAGAUUUCCUAAGCAUUGCUAUGAAUGGGACUGCUGCAUGGACAGCUGCAAACCAUGAUGCUGAAAAUUUUUGGGUGUGUUCCCUCCAUAUUCCUAAAGGGACAUUCACAGCCAUGCCCAACAUCCCAAUCACAAGUACUUUGGCAGGCAGGGGUUGAGGCCGAAGGUUCUUAGCAAAUGCAGUCCGUGCUAUAGCUGCUCGGGCUGCAACCACAACAGGUGGGCACCUGAAUUUCACGCCAGGUGGGGGCUGGAAAACUUUUGCAACAAGCGGCAAGACAUUGCUAACUGCACGAUAUGACUUUGCAAUAGGGCAAUUUCCGGUUUGCAACCACUCAUUGCUUGAUGCCUCAUGAUUUGGCUGUUCUCCCUGUGAAGAUGGCUUCUUUUUGGAUGAUUUGGAGUUCAUCUCUUCAUUCUUCCACUUCUUUGAAAAUGAGUCAAAGCUAAAGGGUCCCCCAGGUCCAAAGGAUGAGAGACUGAUGGUAGCUGCCUUUGCAGCUAACGGAUUGAACUCAGGAAGGGUUGGUCGGGAGUCUUCUUUCUCAGAACUUGAGAAUGAUCUUUGAGAAAGUGGGACAACUCCAUCAUGUCCAUGGAAUAGCCUGAAUGCCAUAUCAAAAUUUGGACCAUCUUCAAAAAUUGGACCUCUGCCUUUGCGGACCUGGCAAAAAGUGAAAAAUAAAAAAUUUCAGAAGUAACCUAAUUUGAAUUAUCCAGUGUCAACUAAAUCAGGCAAUCGUUCAGGUGAGUAACAUGUUUGCAGGAAUAAAAAUAUCAUGACAGUGAGACACAAAUGCAAUCAGGUUAAGGGGACAAAUGAAGUUUCAUAUCUAAUCAGGCUAGCUCUAAGUAACAUCAAAGUGAUCUUGUUCCAAAAGGUUUUGAUUUAGAAAAAGCACAAUGUAAAAGUAGAAUUGGCAAUAUUUAGGCACAUGCGAAAUCAGACUCAAGUAAAAUGACAAAGAAUAAGAAACAUAGGGAAUAUCAUACGCUUAAGCACAACCAAGUAAAAAUAUAUAACUUACAGGCAUUGGGAAGGGCAUAGAUGAGGAGAAGGAGAAAUUAGUGGGCUCAUUAAUAUUUCUCAAAAAGGGACACCUAAGAAUGUCAUGCUGAGAAGGUACAGAUUCAUCAUUUAGGCCUCUGAAGAAAAAGUCCAUCUUUAACAGGAAGCAAGUUUGCCUGCUUCAGCGGUGAUAAUCAAGAGGCGAAGAGCAAGAAUUGAAAGGAAAGCGUCUAUAGUGAGAAGCGAAUAAUUGGAGGUAGAGGAAGGAAUCAGAGAACUUAUGAAGAAAACGAGGGAGAGAUGAUAUUUGUUUAUUCAAUUCGGGGGAGGUGACAGUAAACGACGCCGUGCUUAGCACACGCCAAUUGAUGAGUGGUGG
rnacentral:misc_RNA from 1 species